GCCGGGCGCGGUGGUGAGUGCCUGUAGUCCCGGCUACUCCGGAGGCUGAGGCUGGAGGACGGCUUGAGCCCCGGAGUUCUGGGCUGUAGUGCGCUAUGCCCAUCGGGUGUCCGCACAAAGUUCGGCAUCAACAUGGUGACCUCCUGGAAGCGGGGGACCACCAGGUUGCCUAAGGAGGAGUUAACCCGCCCAGGUCGGAAACAGAGCAGGUCAAACCUCCCGUGCUGAUCAGUAGUGGGCUCUCGCCUGUGAAUAGCCACUGCACUCCAGCCUGGGCAACAUAGCAAGACCCCAUCUCU
rnacentral:SRP_RNA from 1 species